GACCUAAAAUGUGGAAGCAGUUUUGAAAAUGUGAACGGAUAGAGGAGCGGCAGUGGCAGAGAACCAACAGCAGCAGAACCAGGAGACCACAGCGAGAUGGCGGUGGAGCCGAACCACUAAGUGAGAGAGCCGAGCUGCCUCAGUCUCAAAAGGCAAGGGGAACGGCAUGAACAAAGGCAUGAAAAGUUCUCUCUGGCGGGAGCACAGGGUGUCAGGCUCUGGUGCAUUGCUGACUUCCAGAACUCCCAGAUCAAGAACAGGAUUUAUCAGCCCCAAGAGGAGGAAACAGCAUAUGCAAAGGACGAAGUCUGAAGCAUUUAGGGAACUGAAGCAAGGCCGGUGUGAAUGAGGCAAAUAGAAUCAAGGAAACUUUGGCAUGAGACUGCAGCUAGA